rnacentral:rRNA from 1 species
UUGGCUCARGAUGAACGCUGGCGGCGUGCUUAACACAUGCAAGUCGAACGAAGCGCUUUAUUUGAUUUUCUUCGGGAAUGAUUAUUUUGUGACUGAGUGGCGGACGGGUGAGUAACGCGUGGGUAACCUGCCUCGCACAGGGGGACAACAGCUGGAAACGGCUGCUAAUACCGCAUAAGCGCACAGCUUCGCAUGGAGCAGUGUGAAAAACUCCGGUGGUGUGAGAUGGACCCGCGUCUGAUUAGGUAGUUGGUGGGGUAACGGCCUACCAAGCCGACGAUCAGUAGCCGACCUGAGAGGGUGACCGGCCACAUUGGGACUGAGACACGGCCCAAACUCCUACGGGAGGCAGCAGUGGGGAAUA